rnacentral:rRNA from 1 species
AUUGAACGCUGGCGGCAGGCUUAACACAUGCAAGUCGAACGGUAACAGGGAGUAGCUUGCUACUUUGCUGACGAGUGGCGGACGGGUGAGUAAGGUAUGGGGAAUUUGCCGAAUGGAGGGGGACAACAGUUGGAAACGGCUGCUAAUACCGCAUAACGUCGCGAGACCAAAGGGUGGGACUUUCGGGCCACCUGCCAUUUGAUGGGCCCAUAUUGAGAUUAGCUAGUUGGUGUGGUAAG